AAUAAUAAUUCUCGUCUCUUUUUGAUUAAACGUUUCAGAAAUGAUGCAUCUUGUACUGGAGAAAAAGGCGUUGUUGGAGGCUAUUGAGCUAGCUCAAGACUUGAUUGAGAAAAACAAGGAUUUACACUUCCAUCUUCUUUGCCUUCAUUUUCUUGAGCUUAGAUGUGCUGCCAAGUGCCCUGAAGCUCUUGAAUCUGCUCAGACAAGGUUGGUGGCUCUUUUUGGGGAUGUCCCAAAAUAUGUCGAAAAGCUUCAAGUUAAAGUCUCUGAAUCUUUGAUGAAUUGGCGCAGAUUAUGUUUUCUCUUCUCCAAAUGAUGGAAGCUGUUAGUUGAAAAGUUGAAACCAGUUUGUUUCCCUCUGUGUGUGGCAGGCCACAAUACAGUUGCUGACUUGUGAUUUUGAAGACCCUGAGCUACCUCAGAUUUACAUCUUUCCAGCUUUGAAUACAGCCAACAGGUUGCCGAUAAACUGAACCGCGCCAUUCUUGAACAUGCAAAAGAUACACACCAAUGGAAAGGCUCUUACAACAGGUGACAGUUGCGAGACAGUACUUGACCCAGGAGUAUGGCAAAGACGCGUUUCCUCCAUUCUCCUUGGAAGAUUCUCUCAAAGGCUUAAGAUCGCAGCAGGACGACUCUGAAGUUUGCCAAGAGAAGGAUAUGCUUAACAUUGGCAUUUAAAUACAGAAAAACGCUUUUUGCUUCUCAAUGUCUAUCUCCAUUGGUUUAAAAUCCGUCUUCUAACUCAUUUCUCUUUGUAAUGAACUAAUGAUCGUUUAUGUAACACAUAACUUCAAGAUAGAUACUUUGCAGACU